rnacentral:rRNA from 1 species
AACGAACGCUGGCGGCAUGCCUAACACAUGCAAGUCGAACGAGACCUUCGGGUCUAGUGGCGCACGGGUGCGUAACGCGUGGGAACCUGCCCUUAGGUUCGGAAUAACUCCCCGAAAGGGGUGCUAAUACCGGAUAAUGUCUUCGGACCAAAGAUUUAUCGCCUUUGGAUGGGCCCGCGUUGGAUUAGCUAGUUGGUAGGGUAAAAGCCUACCAAGGCGACGAUCCAUAGCUGGUCUGAGAGGAUGAUCAGCCACACUGGGACUGAGACACGGCCCAGACUCCGACGGGAGGCAGCAGUGGGGAAUAUUGGACAACGGGCGCAAGCCUGAUCCAGCAAUGCCGGGUGAGUGAUGAAGGCCUUAGGGUUGUAAAGCUCUUUUACCCGGGAUGAUAAUGACAGUACCGGGAGAAUAAGCUCCGGCUAACUCCGUG